rnacentral:misc_RNA from 1 species
GGAAGUAAAAGUGUAACAAGGUUUCCGUAGGUGAACCUGCGGAAGGAUCAUUACUGAGUGAGGGCCCCUCGGGGUCCAACCUCCCACCCGUGUUUAACGAACCUUGUUGCUUCGGCGGGCCCGCCUCACGGCCGCCGGGGGGCAUUUGCCCCCGGGCCCGCGCCCGCCGAAGCCACCUGUGAACGCUGUCUGAAGUAUGCAGUCUGAGACAAUUAUUAAAUUAAUUAAAACUUUCAACAACGGAUCUCUUGGUUCCG